UAUAAAUAAACCUGUAAUGUUUGACCUUUCUCGAGGCUCUGAACCACUGUGUGUGGACAUAUUGUGAUGUAUGCCGCUGUCACUUCUAUUAGUGGUCGUUUCAUGGAGAUAUAACAUGAUGCCAUGAAGAUUGUUGAUUUGCAUGCCGCGCCAUAUCAUGACAACCAGACUAUAACACUUAAUGACUGCACUAAUGGAUCACUACGCAUCACACAUGCAUUGAGUUGGAUUAACCUGUGUAUUUUCGGUGAUUAAAAUGACGCUAAAGAAAUAAAGUAGAUGAUGAUCAGAUGACAGAGCCUACAGCCUGGGAAUACUGCUGCCACCUUUCUUGGCGUGCUGUCACUUGAAUGAAUGAUACAGCUAUAAUGCGAGGGUAACACCUUCUUACGACCACGCCUCGUGUUAUUAAUGGUUCAGUAGUAAUGUUAGACGAGUCAUAUUAGACUAGCUUAUCGUCUUUAGGGUAUGUACAUAGAAGAUUCUACAAGGUUGAAGAUAUUAAAGUGAAUAUUGGAAGCAUAUAACGUGACACUUGAUACAUCUAAUCAUGACACUAGUAAUAACUUUUACGUCGGUAACAAUAUGUCAUGUCUAGUAGAGAGAUUGAUACAUCAUGGUACAUACAGUCUAGUAAUAACCCAUUCUUACGUCGGUAACAAUAUGUCAUGUCUAGUAGAGAGGUUGAUACAUCAUGGUACAUACAGUCUAGUAAAAACCCAUUCUUACGACGGUAACAAUAUGUCAUGUCUAGUAGAAGGGUGUGUUCAUAGAGCUCCACUUCCUCACAGCCCAAUAAGGUUCCAUAUAUCUUGACAAUCAAAGUAAAUAAUAUCACUCGUAUCACAAAGAAGCUAGCAGAGCAAAGGGAAGUGUAGUCUAGUCUUGUGACGAUCAGCAGUAUCGCUAGGGGAAAAAGGCGAGCUUUCCUAUUCACUUCCGGUUUACAUAUUUCUCUUCUUAUCACUGAAUAAAUAAACCUGCAUUCUUCACGUU